UACGGGGGGUGCGAGCGUUGUCCGGAAUCAUUGGGCGUAAAGAGCUCGUAGGCGGCCUGUUGCGUCCGCUGUGAAAUCCCGGGGCUUAACCCCGGGCGUGCAGUGGAUACGGGCUGGCUGGAGGCAGGCAGGGGAGAACGGAAUUCCCGGUGUAGCGGUGAAAUGCGCAGAUAUCGGGAGGAACACCGGUGGCGAAGGCGGUUCUCUGGGCCUGUACUGACGCUGAGGAGCGAAAGCGUGGGGAGCGAACAGG
rnacentral:rRNA from 1 species